rnacentral:rRNA from 1 species
AGUGAACGCUGGCGGUAGGCCUAACACAUGCAAGUCGAGCGGCAGCACAGUAAGAGCUUGCUCUUACGGGUGGCGAGUGGCGGACGGGUGAGGAAUACAUCGUAAUCUACUUUUUCGUGGGGGAUAACGUAGGGAAACUUACGCUAAUACCGCAUACGACCUACGGGUGAAAGCAGGGGAUCUUCGGACCUUGCGCGAUUGAAUGAGCCGAUGUCGGAUUAGCUAGUUGGCGGGGUAAAGGCCCACCAAGGCGACGAUCCGUAGCUGGUCUGAGAGGAUGAUCAGCCACACUGGAACUGAGACACGGUCCAGACUCCUACGGGAGGCAGCAGUGGGGAAUAUUGGACAAUGGGCGCAAGCCUGAUCCAGCCAUACCGCGUGGGUGAAGAAGGCCUUCGGGUUGUAAAGCCCUUUUGUUGGGAAAGAAAAGCAGCAGGUUAAUACCCCGCUGUUCUGACGGUACCCAAAGAAUAAGCACCGGCUAACUUCGUG